CCCAGACUUCCUGUUCCACAGUUCCUCUCUGCUAAAGGUCUCUCAGCCCACGAAGCCUGCGCCGUUUGAUCUAGUUCUUUGAUGAGAUCCAGACACACAGAGGUUGCUCACACUGCUCUGAAGCUACAAUUGGGUUACCACAGCUUUCAGAACCUUGCAGAUGAUCCAAAGAAAAUUGAAAAGAUGGAACCAAAGUUUGCACAGAGGUCCAGAGACUUCACAAAGGGCCGCAGGGUCUCCCUUGUCGCAGGGGCAGCAACACACCACCUCAUUUUUUUGAUGAAAACCAUGGAGCGCUCACAUGCAUUCAGCAUGACAGAAGAUCGAAAGUGAAAAAUUUCUAGCCGGCUUCUAAAAUGUCAGAAAUAAAGAGGCACAAAGGAAGAAUCUGUCACAGACUCAUAGCCAGCUCCCGACAGCGUUCUGCUCGCUCUGCUCAGACUAUGUAUGACACAACUCAACGCUGGUUCCACAGCCCUUCACGGACACUCUCCGUGGUUUUUCAGUUGCUAAACUCAGUCCUUUGAAGAGGAAACAGUCUGAAAAAUCUCAUCUCCCUCACUGUUCUUUGUACCUUUCGAGGCAGAUGACUUUUCAGCGUGUUUUUACUUUCUUGCCAAUUAGCUUGACUACACAUUUAAUAUUUAAAUUUAUGUUGUUAAGUUUUCUGUAGUUUUUAUAUUAUUCCACAUAUAAAUCUGAUGGAAUAUACUCUGAGGACAGCCGGAUCCUUGGGUGUGCAGACAUCGUCACAGUACUGUCAGUGUCUCCCAGAAGCAGCCUUUUGCAGGCUCCAGACACUGAGU